AAGAAAAAGAAACUUUGAAUUGUAAAAUUCAUUAACCCAGCCACAUACAACAGCUCACGGAUUCCUGAUCUUCAGCUCUUUGAAAUCAAACAACAAAAAAGGCGGGGCAAUACAUCAUUCACCUUUUACUUCUAGUCUCCAAGCGCAUGAAAACCCAAUCUAAUAUGCGCGAGCUUCGAUUAAAAUGCGAGAACGAGAUCGAAACUCAACAUCACAAAACAAUCACAUCUCUCCGAUCUUUUCGCGGCUCUCUCGAGUCUCAAUUAUCAAUUGCCCAAACAACUUAUCAAAAUCAAGCUAAACUAGGGAAGCUUAGAGCAGAAUUGAGAGCUGUGGAGGAUGACUUGGUCAAAGCUCUUGCUCUAAAGACACGGAAAGAGGCAAAGAGGAUGGCAAUGAUGGAUUCAUUGGCUGCUACCAAAGCAAGAGUAGAUAGUCUGAAAAGAGUGGUAGAAGAGCAAAAAGCGAGGAAAGAUAAAUAUGCUGAAAUUAUUUUUCAACAAUCUAAAGUUCUCUCAGCAUGUGAAGAAAAGUGCAAAAAGGACUCUAAAUGCAGAGAAGAAGUUGAAGAGGCUAUCUCUUGGUACAAUAGGGUUCUUGGUUUCCGGAUUCAAUGUGGACUUGGGAUAAAAUUUAUUUUUAAAAAUAUCAAUCCAAAUGAUCCCAAGGAAGAAUAUUACUUUACAAUCCGUCAUGAGAAUGAUGUGUACUCUUUACUUGAUUCUGAUCCAUGUCUAAAUGACACAAAAGGCUUAAUCAUCGAGUUGAAUAAGAGCAAUGGUUUGUUUCAAUUCGUACGGACCAUGAGAGAGAAGUUUGAAGCUACAACUUCUGGUACUAGUCCUAACACAAUAACCCUAGUACCGGACACUUCCACAAUCACUGCAUCUGCUCCAGUUUCUUCAAUUUCUACCUGUAUUAGUAGUGAAUCACCAAUCAAGCAAAAAGCACUCCAAGCUGGAGACAGUGACAGACUUCCCAAGAAACCUAACCGUGGUAAAGGUCGUUUAUCAGAUCUAAAGGCACCUGAAUCUUCAUCCGUUCGCCGUUCGCCCUGUCAUGCGGUCAGGAAAUGAGUAUGGAUUAACUGCCCUGUAACCUCAAGCUGAUGAACUGCCUACCUCCUGUAAACCAGUUUGGCCUUUCGUGAUUAAAAUGUCUUUGGAAUCCAGAAGAUGACAUAAAGUCAUAGACCAUGAAAUCACCACUGUUUUAUCUGAGGUGUAUUUAAGUUUCUUGGACUCCAGCAAAGCUUUGUGCUAUAGAUGAGUUAUAUGCACACAUGUAUAACAUUAGCAGGAUAUGUCAGCAUUGAAUUUACCCAAGAAAUACAUUUUUAGAAAAAAAUUGUUGAACUUGGACUCGAAAAUUUGGCUCAGCCUAAUCUGGAAAACCCCAGCUCAGUCCCAGGCCCGGACUUAGGAUCCUCAAUGUCCCCUUGUUUUUUUGCCCAAAGGUCAGCUAUUUAUGUAUAAGUAUAACUGUGAAGUCUGGACCAACCUAAAGACAUUUUAUCGAUCACUCCUGAAAGUUAUGGAUCUCGUUCAAAUGGUAGUCCAUACAGAUAGAAAUUAUUGUUGCCUACCUGACAUCAGCUUUCGUGGUGCUACGGGUCCACAAUCAUUGUGAAGGAGGCUGACUUAUACUUGUUAUAGGUAGACCAAACUCAUUGUGGUCUGGAAAUCGGGUCUUGGGGCGACUAGGGCGACUAUAGACUAAUCUUAGCUUUUGCUCAGUAAUACUGAUAUACCCCUGGACAAAGGCAACUGCACGAGGCAUUCAAAAGGAUAGUUAUUUAGGGACUCUGUGAUAUAAACUUCAGACACACAGACAUAUAUGUAUAUGGUUUCAUUUUGAGAGCAAGGAAGCUAGCUUCUGAUGUGAGGAGAGAAGAAACGGUUCAUGUAAAAAUUUGUAGAUUAUUUUUUUAGUUUUUCUCCAUUCCCAGUAAUGUCUUUUCUAUAAUCCAUGAAUAGGUGAUACCUCUCUGAAUAUGGAGAAAUGAGAUCAUUAUUUGUAGUAGGAAAUAUCAUUUUUGGCCGACAAAGAGAACUGAAAUGUUUCAUAUGUUUAUAUAAAACUAGCUGCUCUACAUAAAUUUAAUUUGGUGUUCUUGUAAAUAGAGAUUCUUUUUCAUAGGAUUUUUGAUGCAUAAUGUUUAUAUUAUGUUAGGAUUUGAUUAUGUUCUCCCAAUUUUAGGAACUCACUCCAUGAUCCGUAGUCAAGUAUAAAGAAAGUACAUUGGGAUUAUAGUGUUAUUAUAGUUGGUUACUUACUACUUUGCGAUAAAUAUUUUAUUAUAGUUGGUUUGUUUUGUCUUUAUGAUCUGAAAAUUGUCUUCAUCUUCUGUAUUAAGUCUUCACAUAGAUUGGUCAUAAUAGAAUCAAGUAAUGUCUCGUAUAGUUCAUUUUGUGGAGUGUUGGGAAGUUGCUUGGUACUUGUUUUCAACCAGUUGAUUUCAGGCAGGACAAAGUAUUUGUGGUCCUGCUAUGGGCUGUGCAGUGCAUAGUACUGCGAGGCAACUGUUUGCAGCUUGGUGAAAUACAAUUACCCUUUGCACGAUCUGAUAUCUCUAUUCAUGUCCCAAUUCUGAUGCAUUGUAGAUAGUUCAAGUUAUCUAGAUAACUAGGAUUCUGGCAUUCCCUGUAUGUGAACUUAUAGUAGCGAUUACAUGAUAAACGGAAGUUACUUUCUUGAUUUUUUUUUAAAGUUUCUGCUCUCCAUGAUCACAAUAAGUUUUCAUCUGACAUUUCUAUGCUUUAGUUAUGACAUGAGCGUUAAUCUUAGUGUUGUAUUAUCACAUCGAUUUAAGCUUACUGUAUUGUUAAAUAUUGAUUCCAACAAAAAUUUAGUUUUUUCUAUAUAACUGGGGAGAUAAUACUUGGGGAAUUGGAGAUUGUGUCUUCGUCAAUCACUUUAUGUUUAAGUAUAUGUUUCGCUUCCUUUAUGAACAGGUUUAUUUAAGUUUUAACCUUCAAUGAAUAAGUCACCAUUUAGUAAUACCUAAAAGACCUUAGUGUUUGCAUCAGUUAAGAGCUGUGGGAAUUUGUAGUGAUGAUGAUGCUUAAGAUUUCGCUUGAUUGCAAAGGACUUGAAAAAAAUAGUUUCCCUAACACAUGUGAAUUUCUUCUGUUACAGUCUUUCCUUAUUUACUAGCUUGUAAUACGUUUAUGUAGAAGGACCUGCUUAUUUGCUUUAACUAGAGGUUCACUGUACAUUUUUUCCUUUCCUUAGGGGAGUGGAAGAAUCUGCAAUCUUGAAGUAGCUAUCACCAGUAGGCUGCCUCCCGGUUGUUGAUAUUAUUAGAAGGAAGCUUUGAUGUAAAUUGUUCAUCUUGUAACAUUGGCAGGUUUAGGAAAAAAACAGCAACUGGGUCACUGUACCAGUUCUAACGCUGAUGCUAGCAUGUCUAAGUAUUGCGCUUUGCUCCUUGCCUUAUCCUCAAAGUUUGGAGUCAUACCUGCCAAAUAAAUACGGCUUACGAACAAAGUCAAUGUCCAACAUCAGUCUUAUGUAGGUGCAGCAUGAUAAUAUUCCGUCGUAUAAAUGGAAGAUUUAGGUUCUUUUGAAGGAAAUUUGAGGUGUAGCCAUAAGGUCAAACUUAAAAAUCUAAAUGCCAUGUGCACUGCUAGUUUUGCUCAUAAUUUCAGCUCAAGGUUUGGCUUCAAGAGUCGGUCACCAUUAAAUGGUUAACUUGAACCAAGUCAUGUUCAUUCUCAUAUGUGUUCCAUGCUUUUAUUGUUUGUUUGCUGCAUUUAUUAACAUCUACUAAUACUGCUGUACUAAGCUUUAUUUGUUAGGCUUGUGCCCAUCCCACCUUAAUCUAAUGGACUCCUUUGCUAUCACAAUUAGGUCUCAGUGUGCCUCAACAAGAUGAUACUUGCAGUCGAAGUUUACAGAAAAAGGAGCUGCUUGGGUGACAAGUGCAUGUGGCGUUUUAUCUACUGAUGCUCUUCCCAUAACACUCGUGGAUUAUUCCUGAUAUUAAUUUGUACGUUGAAAUUCAUAAUUGCAACAAAUGGAUUUCUAAAAGGUAAUGUAGAAGGGAAAUUAGACAAGGAAAAGUAGAAGCAUCCAGAUCGAUCAGACUGAGCUGGUAGUCUUAAGAAAAGAGAGAGGAGACAAGACAAGACUGUCUAUGAUGAACAUGCAAAUAUCCCCCAUGCAUGGAACCCCAUCUAUCUCUAACUAUAUCGUUAUCUUUUGAACAGUGUUGCAAUAUUAUAAAAAUUAUGCAUUGGAGUCACCUACUGUGAACCAGUAGUGGACGUUUGGAAGCGAGCAUAUGUACUAUAACAUAUAUGGCAGCUGGUGUAGAACAAUACUAGAAUAUACGGACGUCAGUAGCAUAUAUUCAGAGGAAAAAAUGUGUUCGACGUAUAAAGUUACUAGAUUGAGAUAAUAUUUAGCUGAAUGAUAUAUUCAGAGGACACUGAACAAGCCGAGUCGAAGUGAACUUUUGCUUGACUGAAUUAGCGGUUCAAGUUUUUCCUCAUUGAAUGAAGUUGAAUUCGAUAAAUUUAUGAGCACUACAUUCUUAUCUGAACCAAGUCGAGCUUAUGAAACAAAAUUUGAAGCACAAACCGGAGCUUGUUAACUAUUUCAUCGAGUCGGAUUCGAGUCGAAUUUAAGGAACCGUACCGAAACAGUAGCCAGAGGACUCGGACUGACAGCAAGUAGGGGAAAGUGUGAAGAAGGAUGGUCCAUUUCUGGGCAUAAAGAGAGGCAUGCUGCAGCAUGUGAUCACCGAUGAAUUAGCUGCAGAAUUCAGUAAUUAAUUUACAUGGUAGAUCAACUGUACGUGGUGGGAUUAAUAAUUGUACUAACCUUUGUUUUCAUGUGCCUUCGUUUGUGAUUGUAUUAAAGAAUCGAUAUGUAGCAGAGUGUAGUGCAGCAGACAUACUGGUACUACGGAUUAUUCUAUAUUUCUAUUAGCCUC